UUUGAAUGAAUCAACUGUUCCCUCUUGAAAUUCUUUAUAUAUAGGAGAGCUUGAAGGGUAGCUUUCUUCAAGCACCACCAAACACAGACAUGGCAGUUCAAGGUCCUUUCCUACUCUGCCUCCUAGCCUUGGCCUCCUUGUAUAUAUGCUUGCACUGUAGGUGCAAAACCGAGCCAUUACUCGAUGCCUUUCAACCGGAGCAGUUUCCCUGCUGAUUUUAUAUUUGGAGUUGGUUCAGCUGCUUACCAGUCUGAAGGAGCAGCUCAUAUCGAUGGCAGGGGACCUAGCAUAUGGGAUACUUUCACCAAGAAACAUCCAGGAGCUGCAGCUACAUACAUGAGGUUCUAAGUGAAUUGUGUUUGCCAACUUCUUAUAAUCUCUUGUUAGGAAAGUCUUCUACGUGUGGAACACAAGAUGUUGGUCGGAGGUUGUUGAAAGUAGCUGUAUUCGUACUCAACUCCUUAUAUAUAAGUUCAUCCAACAAAACAUGCACUUACAAUAUAAUUUUUUGCUCAAAAACCUUUACAGCAUAUACUUAAUUACAUUUCCAGUAGUUUAGCUCUUUUUUUCCGGUAAACACGUCCUCAUCAAUCGAUUUCUUAAAAACAUUACUUCCUAUGGUCGCAUUUCUUUCAUUCUUUGCACAUGCUCAAAUUUCAUCUGACACCAUCAAACCCGGUGGUGUCAUCCUUCUCUCUUUAGAUGCUCGUUUUAGAGAACGGCAUUUUCAAAUUUGGCUUCCAAAGUGAGCUGGGUGGGGCUGCUCAUUUGGUAAUCCUUUACUUGCCAUCGAUUGUUGGUAGUUACACCGAUUGAGUUGCUAGCGAACACAGUUUUCUUGUCAAUGAAAAUUUGACAAUGGAAGAAGACAGUGUGCUAAAGAUUUUCUAUGAUGAAGGGUGCCCCGUCAUUCUGAACCCAAAUAGAGCAACCCCUAAUUCUAUCGACACUAUUGAAAACUCUGACAACUUCAGAGUUAAAGAACCGAAUCCCAAUGGAUCUAUCAGGAGGGUCUUGUGGGAGAGUUUUGAUUAUCCUUCUGACACACUCCUGCCUGGUUUGAAACUAGGGAUGGAUUUCGAAACAAACCAAAAAUCGAUACUAACUUCAUGGAUAAGUGGUCAAAUCCCUUCAUUUGGAGGCUUCUCUCUAGAGUGGAGCCCUAAUGCAAAUGGAACGGGUCAACUUGUAAUGAGACACCGCAGUAACAUAUAUUGGGUUAGUAGGAUUGGCAACGAUUCUCACUUUCCGAAUUUUGGUAUGAUGGCUGGCGGCAAUUACAAGUUCAAUUAUGUGAGUAACAAAAAAAAAAAGUUACUUCACAUACUUUGUUCUCAAUGGAAGUUUUUCAGCGUGGACCUUGGGCUUUGAUGGGCAACUCAUGGAUCUAAAGUCACAACUUGUUUUUUCUAAAUAGUUCCUUGUGUUUUUUUAAAUCCUCUGAUCGUGGGUGCAUGGAGCAAAACACACCCAAUUACAGGAAUAGUGAACAGAGGUUCCGUGAAAAGUGGGGUGCUUUUCAAAACAGAUCAUAUUGCCUUGAUGACGACUCGAGCUUGAACAUUAAUGAUUGUUGGGCUCAAUCCAGGAACAAUUGUUCUUGUCUUAGGUUUACCACAACAACUACAAAUGAAAUUGGAUGUCGAUUCUACAAUAACAAAUUUGUAGAAGACAAAGACAACAAUCAAGACAGACUUAUGUUCUUGACACUGGAGACACCAACAGCAGCCCCCCAAUGGUGACAAGAAAAAAAAAAGACAUGGUGGAUAUGGCUUAUAGUGGGUGUUACAGGGGCUACUUUAGUUAUCAUAUUGGGAUUCUUAUUACAUUUUUGGCGUUGGAAAAAACUUCAAGCAGGAAACGAUCAAAAUGAAAAAGAAGUAAAUUGGUUUGAAAAGAAAGAAUUUCCAGUGGACCAAUUUUCAUAUGAGACUAUUUUGAAGGCUACUGGAAACUUCUCCAGUUUAAAUCACCUUGGACAUGGAAGUUUUGGUCCUGUAUAUAAGGGAGCAUUACAUGGAGGCCAAGAGAUUGCUAGUAAGAGGCUGUCUAAAAGAUCUAGUCAAGGAUUGGAAGAGUUCACAAAUGAGGUCAAAAUUAUUGGCCUGCUGCAACACAGAAAUCUUGUCAAACUUUUGGGCUUUUGUGUUUGUGGAGAAGAGGAACUUUGACUUCUACAAAUUUGUUGUUGUAGAAUCGACAUCCAGUUUCAUUUGUAGUUUCAGUGGUAAACCCAAAACAAAAACAAUUGUUCCUGCACUGAGCCCAACCAUCAUUAAUGUUCAAGCUCGAGUUGUCAUCAAGGCGAUAUGAUAUGUUUUGAAAAGCACCCCACUUUUCACGAAACCUGUGUUCGCUAUGCCUGUAAUUGGGUGUGUUUUGCUCCACGCACCCACGAUCAGUGGAAUUACAGAAACACAAGAAACUAUUCACAAAAACAAGUUGUGACUUUGGAUCCGUGAGUUGCCCAUCAAAGCCCAAGGUCCACGCUGAAAAACUUCCAUCGAGAACAGAGUAUGUGAAGUAACUUUCUUUUUUGUUACUCACAUAAUUGAACUUGUAAUUGUCGCCAGCCAUCGUACCAAAAUUAGGAAAGUAAGAAUCGUUGCCAAUCCCACUAAGCCAAUAUAUGUUACCGCGGUGUCUCAUUACAAAUUGACCCGUUCCAUUUGCAUUAGGGCUCCACUCUAGAGAUAAGCCUCCAAAUGAAGGGAUUUGGCCACUUAUCCAUGAAGUUAGUAUCGAUUUUUGGUUUGUUUCGAAAUCCAUCCAUAGUUUCAUACCAGGCAGGAGUGUGUCAGAAGGAUAAUCAAAACUCUCCUACAAGACCCUACUGAUGGAUCCAUCGGGAUUCAGUUCUUUAACUCUGAAGUUGCCAGAGUUUUCAAUGGUGCCGAUAGAAUUAGGGGCUGCUCUAUUUGGGUUCAGAAUGACGAAGCUCCCUUCAUCAUAGAAAAUCUUUAGCACACCGUCUUCUUCCAUUGUCAAAUUUUCAUUGACAAGAAAACUGUGUUCGCUAGCAACCCAACCGGUGUAACUACCAACAACCGAUGGCAAGUAAAGGAUUACCAAAUAAGUAGCCCCACCCAGCCCGCUUUGGAAGCUGAAUCUGAACAUGCCAUUCUCUGAAACGAGCAUCUCAGAGGGAAAGAUGACAUUAUUGGAUUUGAUGGUGUCAGAUGAAAUUUGAGCAUGUGCAAAGAAGGAUAGAAAUGUGACUGUAAGAAGUAAUGUUUUUAAGAAAUCCAUUGAUGAUGAUGUGUUUACUGGAAAAAAGAGCUAGACUACGGGAAAUGUAAUUAAGUAAAUGCUGUAAAGAUUUUUGAGCAAAAAAUUAUAUUGUAAGUGCAUGUUUUGUUGGAUGAACUUAUAUAUAAGGAGUUGAGUA